UGUGGAAGAACUUGACAGGCCUCAACCCCAUCGAACACCUUUGGGAUAAAUUGGAACACUGACUGCGAGCCAGGCCUAAUUGCCCAACAUCAGUGCUUAACCUCACAAAUACUCUUGUGGCUGAAUAUAAUCAAAUCUCUGCAGCAAUGUUCCUUCUAGUGGAAAGCCUUCCCAGAAGAGUGGAGGCUGUUAUAGCAGCAAAGGGGGGACCAACUCCUUUAUUAAUGCCCAUGAUUUUGGAAUGAGAUAUUGGACGAGCAGGUAUCCAUAUACUAUUGGUCAUGUAGUGUACAUGCCCUCCUGUGCUAACUGACAUAGUGUCACGUGUGGCUGUCUGUUAUCAGUGGAUAGUGAGACUAUUGUCUAUUUGGACUUUGUCCUCCAGAAUGGGGUGGAACAUAACACAAUUAUAACCCUGUGAUCAAACUUUAUCAGUGUAGAAGCAACAGUCAUGUUUCAUACUUUGGUAGCCCUUCUUUGAUCUGGUUUCAUUCAAAUAUAAUCCAAUUUCAUGAAAACAACAGGAUUUUCAUUUUUCAGGACCUUUUUAAGCAGUUUUGUGUUUCCGUGAUUUAGUAUAUGUGUUGAAUGCUUUCCUCAGGUCUCCACACUGUUGGCUUUGAGGGAUUAGUUCAGUGUAGUCGUGAAUGAUGCCUUGUAAUCCACCAACCAUUUCACCGAUGGUGUUGUAGGAUUUUAGAUUGAUCUCUUAGAAAGAAACACAUUUGCUUAAUAGCUUAAGUCAUCCUGUGGAUAUGACAGUAUGGCUAUAGAGAUGGGCCAGGAGAUCAUGGGGUUUGUUUGGACUCUUUCUCCUGGGCAAAGCCCUACUAAAGCCACAGUUCUCUUCCCAAAUGGCACCCUAUUCCCCAUAUAGUGCACUACUUUUGACCAGAGCCCAUAGUGCACUAAAAAGGGAUAGGGUGCCAUUUGGGAUGCAGCCUCUGUCUGAAUGGGAGCCAUUGAGAAAGGAGGUAUUCAGUAGCAUUGAACAGUUGGGAAGGGAGGGAGUCGGGAGGGUGGAUUGGCGCUAUUCUGAGUAGAGUUCAAGGCUUCACUCCACCCUCCCAGGCACACAUGGUGUACGGGACACACACUCUCACAUUCACGUUACAUAGGCCUACUCAUUCUCUCUGCACAUAGUUUUCUACAGCUUUUAUUUUCACCGUAGUAUUUACUCUACUACACACCUAUUUAAUUACUAUGCUAUUAUUUUUGUGCAUUCACUCUAAUUAUAUCUAAACUUUUUCACUCAACUAUUUAUACCAAAAAUAGAGAGACAUUGGCGAAUGGAAAAUUGGCAGAAGUCAGGGAAUGUUGACCGUCCUUAUCUAGCAGUGCUGGAGAGUGUUUCUGCACUGUGCUUUUGACUUCAGGAUGGACAGUGUUAUUCUUAAUUCUCUCAAGCCUGUUUUGCCUGAUCACACAGCCAUGCUGGAUGAAGCACACAGCUGGAUUUCCUGGGGCAGCGGUUCAGAAAGAAGUCCAGGUCGGUUUGGGAGAGGUAGAAGACAGAAUGCUGGUGAGUGACAGUGGGGCCUUGUUUGCCCCAGCGCUGUAUUCAUGGAAAGAUUCUCAAUUGGAUUUCGCUAAACUCCUAUGUCCUCCGUACUCUCCUUACAUCCUUUUGAAAAAGGUAAUUGAGGAGAGGAAACGUGGAAACAAAUGCACUUGUAUGAAAUGAGACUCCUCCACUAGCACCGCAUCAGGCAAAUGAUGCUUACAGAGUACGAAUCCCAAAAUACAUGACUAAAGUUGUACAAAUGUAUUUUAGUGAUAAAAGGAUAAGUAGCAUAUUGUUUUUAAAUGUGUGCAUGAUUUUCUCUUGUGUGUGGCAGAGUAAACUCAGAGGAUGCUCCGCGGGAAGACGCAAUCGAGGACAGAGGCAGACUCCUCCGUUCACCUAAUAACGAAUUGACACUCCACUUAUCGGUUUCCAGGUCAUGAAGGAGAAAGGACAGAGGAGUCAUUUAUUUGUCCUUUCAGCUAGGUGCUAACAGAGUGAAAUGUGGGUCAAUUUACCAUGAGAGAGAAAAUCAUGCAAGGCUUUAAAUAUAAUAUCUAUCGGUAUGUUUGUAUGUAUGUAUGACUGACACAGGUACUUUCGCCAUUCUUGCUAUCCUGAUUGGCACUGUGAAGUGUAACGUGGAGUUGCUUAGCAACGGUGUUGAGGAGCGGGAGGGUUGACAGAGACGUGGCAGUACAACUUACCUUCCUUUGUGGCCUCAUACAGGUGAACGCACACACACACUGUCAAUUGUCUCUGUUACUCUACAGACAGUGUUGUUUUUGUUGGGGUGUGUGUCGCUGGCUGUCUUGGCCCCGUUGAGUGGUUACACCAUGGCAACAACGCUCCAUAUCAACAUCCACCAGCUGCCUCUACUCUGGUCAUCCCAACCUACAGACACAGCGGCAUUCUGGCUGUAGGCUGGAUAAUCCUGGCCACCUUCCUGUCAGUGCAGUUGGAGUAAUCCUGGCCACCUUCCUGUCAGUGCAGUUGGAGUAAUCCUGGCCACCUUCCUGUCAGUGCAGUUGGAGUAAUCCUGGCCACCUUCCUGUCAGUGCAGUUGGAGUAAUCCUGGCCACCUUCCUGUCAGUGCAGUUGGAGUAAUCCUGGCCACCUUCCUGUCAGUGCAGUUGGAGUAAUCCUGGCCACCUUCCUGUCAGUGCAGUUGGAGUAAUCCUGGCCACCUUCCUGUCAGUGCAGUUGGAGUAAUCCUGGCCACCUUCCUGUCAGUGCAGUUGGAGUAAUCCUGGCCACCUUCCUGUCAGUGCAGUUGGAGUAAUCCUGGCCACCUUCCUGUCAGUGCAGUUGGAGUAAUCCUGGCCACCUUCCUGUCAGUGCAGUUGGAGUAAUCCUGGCCACCUUCCUGUCAGUGCAGUUGGAGUAAUCCUGGCCACCUUCCUGUCAGUGCAGUUGGAGUAAUCCUGGCCUCCUUCCUGUCAGUGCAGUUGGAGUAACCCUGGCCACCUUCCUGUCAGUGCAGUUGGAGUAAUCCUGGCCACCUUCCUGUCAGUGCAGUUGGAGUAAUCCUGGCCACAUUCCUGUCAGUGCAGUUGGAGUAAUCCUGGCCACCUUCCUGUCAGUGCAGUUGGAGUAAUCCUGGCCACCUUCCUGUCAGUGCAGUUGGAGUAAUCCUGGCCACCUUCCUGUCAGUGCAGUUGGAGUAAUCCUGGCCACCUUCCUGUCAGUGCAGUUGGAGUAAUCCUGGCCUCCUUCCUGUCAGUGCAGUUGGAGUUGUGUCCAGGUAGUAGGACACAUACCCACUGGGUCAGUCUUACUGUCUCUCUUCAUCUGUUUGUGCAAUGUAGAGAAAUAAUAGUGAAAGAUAAUUUAUUUGUGAUAUAAAACUUAAGUUAUUAGAAUGUUAUGUUCCCAAGCUACAUGGGAUAGAUACAAACAUAUGAUGACACUACCAGUAGGUCCCCUCUCUCUCUCCGUGGCUCCAGUCUGCCCCCCCCCAACCCAACCCUCCCCUCUCUAGGACAGGCCAAGGAGCUGUUUCGUCCGGCUCUGUCCCUAGCUGCGGUAGGCUUCAGCUUCACAUCCUCCAUGGGGAGAAUGUACUCCCACAAACAUGGUUACACCUUGGACAGCAACCAGGUAACAGAGAAAUGAGAUCUCAUAAUGAACUCACUAUCCUCACUCCACUGUCAGAAGGACCAGUUUUUCUCUCCCCCUAUUUCAUUGCUAUAAGUGGUCUCCCUGCUGUAGGACCUGUUGGCGAUAGGGCUCUGCAACACAAUUGGACGGAUGUUCCUGUGUUUCGCUGUCAGCUGAUCCUUGCCACACAGUACGGUCUAAGGGAGUGUUAGGUGAAAACUCAGCUGGUGUGUUUGGCCACCCUAAUCUCCACCCUGCUGUUCAACCUGGAUCUGGGCCUGACUGCUGCCAUGGCCCUCUCUCUGAUAACUGGAGUGACUGUAUUCUCCUGCUCCAACCCUCUGUGCUUUGCAAACGCUGAGCUGUUCUUCAGCUCUCUGAGGUACUGUAGGUAGGCUACAUGCCACGAGACAUAAACUAUACCUCAACCCAGACAAUAUAACAUAAACCAUACCUCAACCCAGACAAUAUAACAUAAACCAUACCUCAACCCAGACAAUAUAACAUAAGCUAUACCUCAACCCAGACAAUAUAACAUAAGCUAUACCUCAACCCAGACAAUAUAACAUAAACCAUACCUCAACCCAGACAAUAUAACAUAAGCUAUACCUCAACCCAGACAAUAUAACAUAAACCAUACCUCAACCCAGACAAUAUAACAUAAGCUAUACCUCAACCCAGACAAUAUAACAUAAGCUAUACCUCAACCCAGACAAAGAAUUUGCUUGAUUGGGUUGAUUGCCUUUAACAAUAGCUUUGUGACUGGUGCAUAACAUAUUGCAUAAUCCAGUAAAACAUAAUACCCAUUACAUCAUAAAACAUGACUGUGCUGUGAGAUCAAAAUGUAUGGGCCUCCUUUACCUCACAGCAUAUCAUAAUGGAUGUUGUUGAUCUUAUCUGUGUGUUCUGUGUUAUCUUCAACCAUACAGACAGUCUUUGAAUAAGGUGUGUGUGUGUGUGUGUGUGUGUGGUGUGUGUGUGUGUGUGUGUGUGUGUGUGUGAUAAUGAGCAUAAGAGAGAGCGUGAGAUAGAGAUAUUCCAUACUGUGUGUUUCUGGCAGCUUGCCCAGAUAAAUUCCCACAAACCGUCAUGUUACUGCCAUAACAACCUCCCUUAUAAAGCUCCCUGCUCUACCCUCAACAGUGAUUGAUGUACUGAAUAUAUAUCCUAAUGUGAAACUGGACACUGCUAUUAAUUGUACCCCUCAGGACAUUGAUAGUACUGUUUUUGGUGGAAGAUGUGAUUGCAGUUGCUUUAGAAAUCAGUUUCAGAUUGUAAUGUACUGUGCAUGUCAGUUUCAGAUUGUAAUGUACUGUGCAUGUCGGUUUCAGAUUGUAAUGUAUUGUGCAUGUCGGUUUCAGAUUGUAAUGUACUGUGCAUGUCGGUUUCAGAUUGUAAUGUACUGUGCAUGUCAGUUUCAGAUUGUAAUGUACUGUGCAUGUCGGUUUCAGAUUGUAAUGUAUUGUGCAUGUCGGUUUCAGAUUGUAAUGUACUGUGCAUGUCGGUUUCAGAUUGUAAUGUACUGUGCAUGUCGGUUUCAGAUUGUAAUGUACUGUGCAUGUCGGUUUCAGAUUGUAAUGUACUGUGCAUGUCGGUUUCAGAUUGUAAUGUACUGUGCAUGUCGGUUUCAGAUUGUAAUGUACUGUGCAUGUCGGUUUCAGAUUGUAAUGUAUUGUGCAUGUCGGUUUCAGAUUGUAAUGUACUGUGCAUGUCGGUUUCAGAUUGUAAUGUACUGUGCAUGUCGGUUUCAGAUUGUAAUGUACUGUGCAUGUCGGUUUCAGAUUGUAAUGUACUGUGCAUGUCGGUUUCAGAUUGUAAUGUACUGUGCAUGUCGGUUUCAGAUUGUAAUGUACUGUGCAUGUCGGUUUCAGAUUGUAGCAUAGGACUAUGGAAGGUUUCUUUCCUUUUGAGCUCAAUAUUAACAUGCUGUAGUCUUCUUUUCAGCUAUGAAAAGACAGCAUAGGGAGAGGAGCCAGCCUAAGUCAGUCGGUUGGUCUGUCUGUCUGCAAUCUCUGUGACAUGUCCAAGUCUGACCCUCCUGCGUAAUGAUAAGAGGUGUCUGUGUGGGUUUAACGUUGGCUGUUUCUCUUGGACCACCUCCAAUGAGAUAAGACUUGGUUGAGCUCAGCUGAUGUCAUUCCACGAUGGCAUCCUCGUUUCCAUUUCAGGCCUGCUGUACUACUGGCAUUGCCUAGGUGGGUUGGUAAAGUUUGGAAAGACAAAUGUCAAGGUGUUACAUAGAAUGUUACAUUCAUGUUACAUAGAAAUAAAUCAUGACUGACUGACUCGCCCUCUUGUCACAUCGUUUCCAAAUGAAGUGGAAUUCAGGAGGGUAAAUGUGGAUGGUUUUUUCAACCUCGCUCAGUGAAAGGUUGUACAUUACCUGUAUAGUAUUAUGACUGCAAUCCACAUGCUGAUAGUUCACAACAAGACCAUACUGUCAAGUCAUUCAUUCUUUCUGCUGUGGGUUUAGAAAGAAAGGAAAAAGAAGCUGUUUAUAUAACAUAUGUGUUGGAGCAAUAUGGUAUCUUGUGUUCAAGUCCAUGUUUCAGAGCAGGUUGGUGUUUUGAAAGGGAGGAGAAAGGUUAAAGAAGGAUUUUAAACCUUGAGACAAUUGAAAUAUUGGAUUGUGUAUGUGUGCCAUUCAGAGGGUGAAUGGGCAAGACAAAAUAUUUAAGUGCAGGGUAUGGUAGUAAGUGCCAGGCGCACCAGUUUGUGUCAAGCAUUGCAAUGCUGCUGGGUUUUUCAUACUCAACAGCUUCCCGUGUUUAUCUAGAAUGGUCCACCACCCAAAGGAAAUCCAGCCAACUUGACACAAUUGUGUGCCAGCAUCCCUGUGGAACGCUUUCGACACCUUGUAGAGUCCAUUCCCCGACAAAUUGAGGCUGUUCA